rnacentral:rRNA from 1 species
AUUUUGGACGAUGGGAGAAAGCCUGAUCCAGCAAUGCCGCGUGUGUGAAGAAGGCCUUCGGGUUGUAAAGCACUUUUGUCCGGAAAGAAAUCCUUGGGCUUAAUACGGUCGGGGGAUGACGGUACCGGAAGAAUAAGCACCGGCUAACUACGUGCCAGCAGCCGCGGUAAUACGUAGGGUGCGAGCGUUAAUCGGAAUUACUGGGCGUAAAGCGUGCGCAGGCGGUUUGCUAAGACCGAUGUGAAAUCCCCGGGCUCAACCUGGGAACUGCAUUGGUGACUGGCAGGCUAGAGUAUGGCAGAGGGGGAUAGAAUUCCACGUGUAGCAAUGAAAUGCGUAGAGAUGUGGAGGAAUACCGAUGGCGAAGGCAGCCCCCUGGGCCAAUACUGACGCUCAUGCACGAAAGCGUGGGGAGCAAACAGGAUUAGAUACCCUGGUAGUCCACGCCCUAAACGAUGUCAACUAGUUGUUGGGGAUUCAUUUCGUUAGUAAGGUAGCUAACGCGUGAAGUUGACCGCCUGGGGAGUACGGUCGCAAGAUUAAAACUCAAAGGAAUUGACGGGGACCCGCACAAGCGGUGGAUGAUGUGGAUUAGUUCGAUGCAACGCGAAAAACCUUACCUACCCUUGACAUGGUAGGAAUCCCGCUGAGAGGUGGGAGUGCUCGAAAGAGAACCGGCGCACAGGUGCUGCAUGGCUGUAGUCAGCUCGUGUCGUGAGAUGUUGGGUUAAGUCCCGCAACGAGCGCAACCCUUGUCGUUAGUUGCUACGCAAGAGCACUCUAAGGAGACUGCCGGUGACAAACCGGAGGAAGGUGGGGAUGACGUCAAGUCCUCAUGGCCCUUAUGGGUAGGGCUUCACACGUCAUACAAUGGUCGGAACAGAGGGUUGCCAACCCGCGAGGGGGAGCUAAUCCCAGAAAACCGAUCGUAGUCCGGAUUGCACUCUGCAACUCGAGUGCAUGAAGCUGGAAUCGCUAGUAAUCGCGGAUCAGCAUGCCGCGGUGAAUACGUUCCCGGGUCUUGUACACACCGCCCGUCACACCAUGGGAGUGGGU